rnacentral:rRNA from 1 species
AAUCUUGCGCAAUGGGGGCAACCCUGACGCAGCGAUGCCGCGUGAGUGAAGAAGGUUUUCGGAUCGUAAAGCUCUUUAUCUCCGCAAGGAAAGAGACGUUAGCGGAGGAAUAAGCGCCGGCUAACUACGUGCCAGCAGCCGCGGUAAUACGUAGGGCGCGAGCGUUGUUCGGGAUUACUGGGCGUAAAGGGUAUGUAGGCGGAAAGAUAAGCUAGAGGUGAAAGCUUAGGGCUCAACCCUAAAAUGGCUUUUGGAACUGUUUUUCUAGAGUCAGUCAGAGGUUAACGGAAUUCCCGGUGUAGAGGUGAAAUUCGUAGAUAUCGGGAGGAACACCAGCGGCGAAAGCGGUUGACUGGGGCUGAACUGACGCUGAGGUACGAAAGCGUGGGUAGCAAACAGGAUUAGAUACCCUGGUAGUCCACGCUGUA